rnacentral:rRNA from 1 species
GAUUGAACGCUGGCGGCAUGCCUUACACAUGCAAGUCGAACGGCAUCGCGGGAAAGCUUGCUUUCCUGGCGGCGAGUGGCGAACGGGUGAGUAACACAUCGGAACGUACCGGCUAGUGGGGGAUAACCCGUCGAAAGACGGGCUAAUACCGCAUACGCUCUUCGGAGGAAAGCAGGGGACCUUUGGGCCUUGCGCUAGUCGAGCGGCCGAUGUCCGAUUAGCUAGUUGGUGGGGUAAAGGCCUACCAAGGCGACGAUCGGUAGCGGGUCUGAGAGGACGAUCCGCCACACUGGGACUGAGACACGGCCCAGACUCCUACGGGAGGCAGCAGUGGGGAAUCUUGGACAAUGGGGGCAACCCUGAUCCAGCAAUGCCGCGUGGGUGAAGAAGGCCUUCGGGUUGUAAAGCCCUUUCGGCAGGGAAGAAAUCGGCGGGGCGAAUAACCCUGCUGGAUGACGGUACCUGCAGAAGAAGCACCGGCUAACUACGUG